UAGUGGGGCUGAGGGAAGGGGUCUUCCCCAGACUGAGGGGGUCACAAGUUUGGGGCCGAGGACACUGGGGUAUCCCCUCGGAGGAGCGGGAAAGAAGAAGCUUUCUCAGGGCUGUGAGGACCGCGGACCCUUGCCCACUUCCACAGAAACUGUCCCAAUCCCCGCGGGGAAGGAACAGCCAGGGAUCCGGUUACUGGAUGCUGGAGGGUCAGCUCGAGGCCAGGGAGCCCAAGGAGGGCACCCACCCAGAGGACCCGUGCCCGGGAGCUGGGGCUGCCAUGGAGAAGACACCUGCAGCAGCCGAGGUCCCCAGGGAGGACAGCAAUGCCGGGGAGAUGCCGUCAUUACAGCAGCAGAUCACCAGCCUCCACCAAGAGCUCGGGAGACAGCAGUCGCUGUGGGCUGAUAUUCACAGAAAACUCCAGAGUCAUAUGGAUGCCUUGAGGAAGCAGAACCGGGAGCUCCGAGAAGAGCUGAGAGGCCUGCAGCGGCAGCAGUGGGAAGCCGGGAAGAAACCCGCAGCGUCCCCACACGCGGGGCGAGAAUCACACACUCUGGCAUUGGAACCUGCUUUUGGAAAAAUUUCACCUCUGUCAGCUGAUGAAGAGACAACGCCCAAAUACGCUGGCCGCAAGAGUCAGAGUGCGACUCUCCUGGGACAAAGAUGGUCAUCUAACCACUUAGCUCCUCCAAAGCCAAUGAGUUUAAAGACAGAAAGAAUUAACUCGGGGAAAACACCACCACAGGAAGAUAGAGAGAAAAGUCCUCCCGGGAGACGUCAAGACAGAAGUCCAGCACCCACUGGAAGGCCGACUCCCGGUGCAGAAAGACGGGAGGUGUCUGAAGACGGAAAGAUUAUGCAUCCAUCUUCCCGAAGUCUGCAAAACUCCGGUGGCAGAAAAUCACCAGUGCAGGCUUCCCAGGCCGCCACGCUGCAGGAGCAGACGGCAGCAGCCGGAGUUGCUGACAGAAGCUCAUCAGUCUUAGGGAGUUCUGAAGGCGGAUUUCUCAGCCGCGUUCAAGCUGAAGAGUUCGCCAGUUCUUCCCCAGACAGUGCAGAGCGGCAGAAUCUUCCUGUAAACCCACCAUCUUCCCUGGAAAUAGCACAGGCCAUGGACACUAAGAUGAAAAAGGAGGAAGUACAGGAAGAAAAACGACAUCCAAAUGGCAAGGCAGAUGACUGCCGGCGGUCCGGUUUCCCGAGUGAAUUUCCAGGAGCUCUGCAUGCCGCUCCCUCCAGACAGGACAUGGGGCCCUGACCUGGAGGCCAGGCGUUUCUAGCAUUGUUGACUGCCAGUUUAUUACCAGUAAAUAAAGCAAUACGCUUUUCAGGAGGAAGAUUUGUUUUAAAUACUUAAAAAAAAACCCAAAACUAUAGCCUCAAAUAUCUUCCAGCCACCACAUUUUAGCCCUUGAGGAGAGCUCAGUUCCGGAAGGACGCGUCAAGGUGGCGGUGGUCGGCAUUGACUCAGGAAGGGGUGGGAAGAGGCACCUGCUGCGGCUGCGGCUGCGGCUACAGUGUUUUGUGAGCUCCGAGGAGACCCAGUCCUGCCUGGGGCAGCACAUCAUCGCUGCUUCUUCAGCUCAACAGUUCGUUCAUCUCACGCCUCUUGCUGGCCUGUUAGAAACUGGGAGUCGGCCUCAGGCUAGCUUUGCUGAGGGAACUCUGCCUCAGUAAAAGCGAAUUCAUGUCUUGCAAGCGGAUAAAGCAUUUGGAUAAAUGAACAACAGGGAAUGCUACUUGCAGUAACAGUUUGAAUUCACUGAAAUGCUUUUGUCUUUAGCGCAGUGGUUGUAGUGGUUUGUCAGGGGAGAAGGAAACCCACAUCAUUUGAGCACCUGACCUUGCCAUCCCCAUAGGCAGGUCCAUGAGACAUAAGUGAUGCUCCUCCUUGGCUAAGUGCAUGGAGAAACCAAUCGCUGAAGCUCAUGAAACCACGAAGAUGAGGACACAAGAACUAGUUUUUAGUGUUGGUUAAAAGUUCAUCUUCAGAUACGGAACUGAACACAGCCCUGCUUCAUUCACCGAGUUGGUUUGGGAGCAGGUGGAGUCAUCUUAGUUCAAACCCCAUCAAACAGGAGGCUGUUGUCCCGGCCAGCAGGUGGCGCACACCGUCAAGGUUUGUUUGGUGGAUGGUUGAAGACAGUUUAAGAAGCCCAGCAUUCGCUUCUAUUCCCUUUGUAUUUUCUCAGCUGAAUUAACACCUAUAUUUCUGAGCUAUGGUUAAGAGGGACAGUGUGACAUAAAUAACAAAAACACAUUUUGCCAUUUGGAAUUUUCACAUGCACUUAUCUUAUCUCCCCAGAUCUUGAGAUUAUUUCUCUCAGAUAUUUUCUUUUGCUAAUCUUUACAGGAGUAAUAUUUUCAAUGUGAAGACAAAGAUAUUCUUUCUACAUUCCUUGUCCAGCAUUAUGCACAUGAGGUUAUAUAAUAUUUGCUGAUAGUUAAUUAAAAUCAACACAUCUUCGGGAUGGGCCGUAGGAGCGAAGAGAAACACAUCAAGCAGCUGUGAAUGCACCCCACAUGCAGGCACUGUAAUCACCUUCCUGUUCCUGUAAUGAAAUAGAA